rnacentral:sRNA from 1 species
AAAAAGUAUGAUUUUUCAAGGAAUCAAGUGUUUAAAGGUGGUGAGCUAUCUGAUACGGGUAAAAGACUACACCCGAGGACCGAGAAUAGGAGUAUAUCUACUCCUAGUACAGCUCAGAAUAGGCAGUAGACUGUCAAUUGCAUCGAGAAGUA